GCCGGGGUGGUGGAAUCGGCAGACACGCUAGGUUAAGGACCUAGUGGGCACAUAGCCUGUACGGGUUCAAGUCCCGUCCCCGGUACCA
rnacentral:tRNA from 2 species